rnacentral:rRNA from 1 species
UACGUAGGGUGCGAGCGUUAAUCGGAAUUACUGGGCGUAAAGCGUGCGCAGGCGGUUUUGUAAGCCAGAUGUGAAAUCCCCGGGCUUAACCUGGGAAUGGCAUUUGGGACUGCAAGGCUCGAGUGCGGCAGAGGAGACUGGAAUUCCUGGUGUAGCAGUGAAAUGCGUAGAUAUCAGGAGGAAUACCGAUGGCGAAGGCAGGUCUCUGGGCUGACACUGACGCUCAUGCACGAAAGCGGGGGGAGCGAACAGG